ACAGAAGAAAGCACCGGCUAACUCCGUGCCAGCAGCGCGGUAAUACGGAGGGUGCGAGCGUUAAUCGGAAUUACUGGGCGUAAAGCGCAUGCAGGUGGUUUGUUAAGUCAGAUGUGAAAGACCCGGGGCGUCAACCUCGGAAUUGCAUUUGUAAACUAGGCAGACUAGAGUACUGUAGAGGGGGGUAGGAAUUUCAGGUGUAGCGGUGAAAUGCGUAGAGAUCUGAAGGAAUACCGGUGGCGAAGGCGGCCCCCUCGGACAGAUACUGACACUCAGAUGCGAAAGCGUGGGGAGCAAACAGGAUUAGAUACCCUGGUAG
rnacentral:rRNA from 1 species